UGGGUCCGCGACAAUCUGUAGUCAUUACUCAACUCCCGAACAGAGAGAGGGCAGCCAGAUUCGUAUAUGGAAAAUGGCCUUGGCGAUGGAUCGGUUAAUUCGGGUAUGGAUGACAAACGCAGCUAGCUGUGUUUUUUACCACGAAUUGCAGACGCUUAGAGUGGUGAAGUUUUGAACGCACAGCGCCGUUGGGUUUUCCCUUCGGCACGUCUGGCUCAGGGUUGUUUAAUAGACUUCGAUAUUGCUAGGAAGGCAGCAAUAUCGUGCACCGAACGGUGAUAGUGUCUAUAAAAUAGUGGUGCAUACCCCGUUUUAGGGUAAAAUAAAGGUCGUAAACUGAAACUUCUUCCGCCCGAGAAGUUAUAGGUAAUACUUAUGGAUGUGCCAUGUAUGAAAUAUGACGUGGUUAUAUACAUAAAUAGUAUUUCCUUGAAGUCUCAUUAUGCAACCUGAGCUCAGUCGUGAUUACCCGCCGAACUUAAGCAUAUCAUCAGCGGAGAAAAAAACACCCG
rnacentral:rRNA from 1 species